rnacentral:rRNA from 1 species
AGUGAACGCUGGCGGCAGGCCUAAUACAUGCAAGUCGAACGGCAGCACAGCAGAGCUUGCUCUGUGGGUGGCGAGUGGCGGACGGGUGAGGAAUACAUGGGAAUCUGCCCAGUCGUGGGGGAUAACGUAGGGAAACUUACGCUAAUACCGCAUGCGCCCUUCGGGGGAAAGCCGGGGACCUUCGGGCCUGGCGCGAUUGGAUGAGCCCAUGUCGGAUUAGCUAGUUGGCGGGGUAAAGGCCCACCAAGGCGACGAUCCGUAGCUGGUCUGAGAGGAUGAUCAGCCACACUGGAACUGAGGCACGGUCCAGACUCCUACGGGAGGCAGCAGUAGGGAAUAUUGGACAAUGGGCGCAAGCCUGAUCCAGCCAUGCCGCGUGAGUGAAGAAGGCCUUCGGGUUGUAAAGCUCUUUUGUCCGGAAAGAAAAGCAUCCAGUUAAUACCUGGGUGUCCUGACGGUACCGGAAGAAUAAGCACCGGCUAACUUCGUGCCAGCAGCCGCCGUAAGAC